rnacentral:lncRNA from 1 species
CCUCUCUUCUCCCCUUGAUAUCCCUCUUUUUCUUCUUCCUUCCUGAAUUUCUUCCCUCCUUAUUGGAUCUGUAUGUUGCUCUUUCUUUCUCUCCCCACCAUCGCUUAAUUUCUUUCUAUCUCCCUUGUCAAAGGUGUUGGCCCCUUCCUUGCUCUCUCUCUCUCUCUCUCUCUUCUUUCUCUUUCCCUUUCUCUUUCUCAGAAGGUGGACUAUAGGGAGAGGAAGGGAGGCCUCUCCUUGAAAGCAACACCUUAUGGUCAAAACGAAGCGGAGGAGAAGGAC